rnacentral:rRNA from 1 species
AACGAACGCUGGCGGCGCGCCUAACACAUGCAAGUCGAACGAGAAUCCGGGGCAACCCGGUAGUAAAGUGGCAAACGGGUGAGGAAUACAUGGGUAACCUACCCUUGAGAAGGGAAUAACCCGCCGAAAGGUGAGCUAAUACCCUAUACGCUAUCUUUUUUCGAAAGGAUAGGAAAGCCGGGUCGAGGACCUGGUACUCAAGGAGGGGCGUCAUGCCCUAUCAGCUUGUUGGUGGGGUAACGGCCUACCAAGGCUACGACGGGUAGCUGGUCUGAGAGGAUGAUCAGCCACACUGGCACUGAGAUACGGGCCAGACUCCUACGGGAGGCAGCAGUGAGGAAUAUUGCGCAAUGGGCGAAAGCCUGACGCAGCGACGCCGCGUGGGGGAGUGAA